rnacentral:rRNA from 1 species
AGCAUAAUAACUUGCCUUUUAAUUAAUGGCUAGUAUGAAUGGAAGAACAAAAAUUACCCUGUCUCUUAAAAAAUACUAAAAAUUAGUCCUCAAGUGAAGAAACUUGAAUAAUACUAAAGGACAAGAAGACCCUGUAGAGCCUCAAACUAAAAUUAAUAUUAAAUAAAAUUUAUCUAGAUUUUUUUUGUUAAUCAAGCUUCUAGUUGGGGCAACUAAAAUAUACCAAAAUCUAUUUAUACAAACGCGGCAAACAAGCCACUUAAAUGACCCUUUUUAAGAUCAUACGAAUAGGCUACCUCAGGGAUAACAGACUAAUUCUUCUUAAAAGUUCUAAUUAACAGAAGAGUUUAGCACCUCGAUGUUGGCUUAGGGUCCCCUAAUGGCGCAGAAGCUUUUAAAGGUGGGUUUGUUCAACCCUUAAAA